AGAAGUAACAGGACCUCUCAUGAUGUGUUUAAAUUCAGUGAUCGGCAUGGUAAAUACCUGACACUGAACUACCCGCCACCCCACCCCGUACAGAGCACGCGUGUGUGUAUGAGAGGACCAGGUAAUCUCACCAUCUCCAGGUUUGGCUUGUAACCGGGAUUGCUCAGGCGCGAGCAGAUCCGAGAAACAAAGACACAAACGCAUCUCGCAAAAGCCAGGACGCUCAGUUCUCAGGACAGAACGCCGUGAGCUUCCCACGGCCUGUAUUCCCCAGAAGACUGUGAGCCUCACAAGACUGCUGUGCUUGUUGCUGUCGCUCCCUGGCUCCCCUGGCCUCGUGUUGAGCUGGCCCUCAGGGAGGUGCUGCGCCCAAGGACGGACACAUGAGUCAUGAAGUAGGAGCAGGCCCGGGAAAGAGGGUCUUUUCCUGGAGCCAGAGAGAACAUCCACUCCUCUCAGAUGGGCCGGAGCUGAGGGAG